rnacentral:tRNA from 1 species
UCCCUGGUAGCUCAGAGGGUAAAGUAUCUGCCUACAGUGCGGAAGACACGGGUUCGAACCCUGUGUCGGGAA